UAGUAAAAAAAGGACUUUAACCUAUAUAACAAGGGCUACAAUCUUGCGCUUGCUUCAGCCAUUUUACC
rnacentral:tRNA from 1 species